AUGUUUUUUGAGGCAUUUAAGACAGAACAGGAUUUUUUUUGGCAUUUUAAGACAGUAUAGUGUUUUUUUCUCAUUUUAAGACAAUAUUGGGUAUUUUUAAGACUUUAUAGGAUGUGUUUUGGGCAUUUUAAGACAGUAUUUUGUAUUUUUAAGGCAUUUUAAGACUGCAUAGGAUGUUUUUUGGGCAUUUUAAGACAAUAUUGGGUAUUAUUAGGGCAUUUUAAAGAAUGAUACAGAAUGAAACAAGGAAGUAUCCAUAAUAGAGUAAAUUGAACAAUGACACAGAAAAGCGUUAUUAAAGGUGCCACAAUGCAUUAAUCUGAACAAUGACACAACAAUGACACAGAAAAGCGUUAUUAAAGGUGCCACGGUGCAUUAAUCUGAACAAUGACACAAAAGAACAAAGAAAAGAACUUGCAAUAAUGUCAUGAUAAGAUAAAUUGAAUUGU